rnacentral:rRNA from 1 species
GUGGGGAAUUUUGGACAAUGGGGGCAACCCUGAUCCAGCCAUGCCGCGUGCGGGAAGAAGGCCUUCGGGUUGUAAACCGCUUUUGUCCGGGAAGAAAAGGCAUCUCCUAAUACGAGGUGUUCUUGACGGUACCGGAAGAAUAAGCACCGGCUAACUACGUGCCAGCAGCCGCGGUAAUACGUAGGGUGCGAGCGUUAAUCGGAAUUACUGGGCGUAAAGCGUGCGCAGGCGGUUCGUCAAGUCUGAUGUGAAAUCCCCGGGCUCAACCUGGGAACUGCAUUGGAUACUAGCGAGCUUGAGUGUGGCAGAGGGGGGUGGAAUUCCACGUGUAGCAGUGAAAUGCGUAGAGAUGUGGAGGAACACCGAUGGCGAAGGCAGCCCCCUGGGCUGACACUGACGCUCAGGCACGAAAGCGUGGGGAGCAAACAGGAUUAGAAACCCGAGUAGUCC